GUGUUGGAAGAUACAUAGAAGACAUUGCUGAAGACUUUGAGAAACAGGUCUACAUUUUUGGACACCUACUAUGCUCUGCUUGGCCCUGGAGCAAUUCCAUGGGUGGAGCCCCUGCAACUGGCAGAUGCUAAACCAAGUAGGCAACAGAAGGAAGGAGAGAACAGCUACUCUCCGCCCCUGGUUCCUGAGGCUGCAGGGAAGAAACAUCUAUUAAUAUGUAAAUGGUUACGGCCGGACGGAGGAUUCUGGAAA